GGAAACGAUAGCUAAUACCGCAUAAUAGUAGAUGUUGCAUGACAUUUGCUUAAAAGGUGCAAUUGCAUCACUACCAGAUGGACCUGCGUUGUAUUAGCUAGUUGGUGGGGUAACGGCUCACCAAGGCGACGAUACAUAGCCGACCUGAGAGGGUGAUCGGCCACACUGGGACUGAGACACGGCCCAG
rnacentral:rRNA from 1 species